GAUGAACGCUAGCUACAGGCUUAACACAUGCAAGUCGAGGGGCAGCAUGACCUAGCAAUAGGUUGAUGGCGACCGGCGCACGGGUGAGUAACACGUAUCCAACCUGCCGAUUAUUCCGGGAUAGCCUUUCGAAAGAAAGAUUAAUACUGGAUAGCAUAACGAGAAGGCAUCUUCUUGUUAUUAAAGAAUUUCGAUAAUCGAUGGGGAUGCGUUCCAUUAGUUUGUUGGCGGGGUAACGGCCCACCAAGACAUCGAUGGAUAGGGGUUCUGAGAGGAAGGUCCCCCACAUUGGAACUGAGACACGGUCCAAACUCCUACGGGAGGCAGCAGUGAGGAAUAUUGGUCAAUGGACGAGAGUCUGAACCAGCCAAGUAGCGUGAAGGAUGACUGCCCUAUGGGUUGUAAACCUCUUUUAUAUGGGAAUAAAGUGGGCCACGUGUGGCUUUUUGUAUGUACCAUACGAAUAAGGAUCGGCUAACUCCGUG
rnacentral:rRNA from 1 species